rnacentral:rRNA from 1 species
CACGCCGUAAACGAUGUCGACUAGCCGUUGGGAGCCUUGAGCUCUUAGUGGCGCAGCUAACGCAUUAAGUCGACCGCCUGGGGAGUACGGCCGCAAGGUUAAAACUCAAAUGAAUUGACGGGGGCCCGCACAAGCGGUGGAGCAUGUGGUUUAAUUCGAAGCAACGCGAAGAACCUUACCAGGCCUUGACAUCCUAUGAACUUUCCAGAGAUGGAUUGGUGCCUUCGGGAGCAUAGAGACAGGUGC